rnacentral:rRNA from 1 species
GAUGAACGCUGGCGGCGUGCCUAAUACAUGCAAGUCGAGCGAAUGGAUUAAGAGCUUGCUCUUAUGAAGUUAGCGGCGGACGGGUGAGUAACACGUGGGUAACCUGCCCAUAAGACUGGGUUAACUCCGGGAAACCGGGGCUAAUACCGGAUAACAUUUUGAACCGCAUGGUUCGAAAUUGAAAGGCGGCUUCGGCUGCCACUUAUGGAUGGACCCGCGUCGCAUUAGCUAGUUGGUGAGGUAACGGCUCACCAAGGCAACGAUGCGUAGCCGACCUGAGAGGGUGAUCGGCCACACUGGGACUGAGACACGGCCCAGACUCCUACGGGAGGCAGCAGUAGGGAAUCUUCCGCAAUGGACGAAAGUCUGACGGAGCAACGCCGCGUGAGUGAUGAAGGCUUUCGGGUCGUAAAACUCUGUUGUUAGGGAAGAACAAGUGCUAGUUGAAUAAGCUGGCACCUUGACGGUACCUAACCAGAAAGCCACGGCUAACUACGUGCCAGCCGCCGCCGUAA